GACGAACGCUGGCGGCGCGCCUAACACAUGCAAGUCGAACGAGCGAGAGAGAGCUUGCUUUCUCGAGCGAGUGGCGAACGGGUGAGUAACGCGUGAGGAACCUGCCUCAAAGAGGGGGACAACAGUUGGAAACGACUGCUAAUACCGCAUAAGCCCACGACCCGGCAUCGGGUAGAGGGAAAAGGAGCAAUCCGCUUUGAGAUGGCCUCGCGUCCGAUUAGCUAGUUGGUGAGGUAACGGCCCACCAAGGCGACGAACGGUAGCCGGACUGAGAGGUUGAACGGCCACAUUGGGACUGAGACACGGCCCAGACUCCUACGGGAGGCAGCAGUGGGGAAUAUUGCACAAUGGGGGAAACCCUGAUGCAGCGACGCCGCGUGGAGGAAGAAGGUCUUCGGAUUGUAAACUCCUGUUGUUGAGGAAGAUAAUGACGGUACUCAACAAGGAAGUGACGGCUAACUACGUG
rnacentral:rRNA from 1 species